GACGAACGCUGGCGGCGUGCUUAACACAUGCAAGUCGAACGGAAAGGCCCUGCUUGCAGGGUACUCGAGUGGCGAACGGGUGAGUAACACGUGGGUGAUCUGCCCUGCACUUCGGGAUAAGCCUGGGAAACUGGGUCUAAUACCGGAUAGGAGCCAUUUUUAGUGUGAUGGUUGGAAAGUUUUUUCGGUGUAGGAUGAGCUGGCGGCCUAUCAGCUUGUUGGUGGGGUAAUGGCCUACCAAGGCGGCGACGGGUAGCCGGCCUGAGAGGGUGGACGGCCACAUUGGGACUGAGAUACGGCCGAGACUCCUACGGGAGGCAGCAGUGGGGAAUAUUGCACAAUGGGCGCAAGCCGGAUGCAGCGACGCCGCGUGGGGGAUGACGGCCUUCGGGUUGUAAACUCCUUUCGCUAGGGACGAAGCUUUUUGUGACGGUACCUAGAUAAGAAGCACCGGCUAACUACGUG
rnacentral:rRNA from 1 species